rnacentral:rRNA from 1 species
AUUGAACGCUGGCGGAAUGCUUUACACAUGCAAGUCGAACGGCAGCACGGGUGCUUGCACCUGGUGGCGAGUGGCGAACGGGUGAGUAAUACAUCGGAACGUACCCAGUUGUGGGGGAUAACUAACCGAAAGGUUAGCUAAUACCGCAUACGACCUGAGGGUGAAAGCGGGGGACCGUAAGGCCUCGCGCAAUUGGAGCGGCCGAUGUCUGGUUAGCUAGUUGGUAGGGUAAAGGCCUACCAAGGCGACGAUCAGUAGCUGGUCUGAGAGGAUGGUGAGCCACACUGGAACUUGGACACGGUCCAGACGCCUACGGGAGGCAGCAGGGGGGAAUUUUGGACAAUGGGCGAAAGCGUGAUCCAGCCAUUCCGCGUGAGUGAGGAAGGCCUUCGGGUUGUAAAGCUCUGUCGGCAGGGAAGAAACGGCCUAGGUUAAUACCUUGGGCUAAUGACGGUACCUGAAGAAGAAGCACCGGCUAACUACGUGCCAGCCGCCGCCGUAA